rnacentral:tRNA from 1 species
AAUUAAUGAACUUGAAUAAGUGUAUAUUUUGAAAAUAUAAAAAAGAAUUUUAACCUUCUAUUAAUUU